CGSAUGCGCAGCUACWMUGCAAGUCGAACGGUAACAGGAARMAGCUUGCUKYUUYGCUGACGAGUGGCGGACGGGUGAGUAAUGUCUGGGAAACUGCCUGAUGGAGGGGGAUAACUACUGGAAACGGUAGCUAAUACCGCAUAACGUCGCAAGACCAAAGAGGGGGACCUUCGGGCCUCUUGCCAUCGGAUGUGCCCAGAUGGGAUUAGCUUGUUGGUGGGGUAACGGCUCACCAAGGCGACGAUCCCUAGCUGGUCUGAGAGGAUGACCAGCCACACUGGAACUGAGACACGGUCCAGACUCCUACGGGAGGCAGCAGUGGGGAAUAUUGCACAAUGGGCGCAAGCCUGAUGCAGCCAUGCCGCGUGUAUGAAGAAGGCCUUCGGGUUGUAAAGUACUUUCAGCGGGGAGGAAGGGAGUAAAGUUAAUACCUUUGCUCAUUGACGUUACCCGCAGAAGAAGCACCGGCUAACUCCGUGCCAGCAGCCGCGGUAAUACGGAGGGUGCAAGCGUUAAUCGGAAUUACUGGGCGUAAAGCGCACGCAGGCGGUUUGUUAAGUCAGAUGUGAAAUCCCCGGGCUCAACCUGGGAACUGCAUCUGAUACUGGCAAGCUUGAGUCUCGUAGAGGGGGGUAGAAUUCCAGGUGUAGCGGUGAAAUGCGUAGAGAUCUGGAGGAAUACCGGUGGCGAAGGCGGCCCCCUGGACGAAGACUGACGCUCAGGUGCGAAAGCGUGGGGAGCAAACAGGAUUAGAUACCCUGGUAGUCCACGCCGUAAACGAUGUCGACUUGGAGGUUGUGCCCUUGAGGCGUGGCUUCCGGAGCUAACGCGUUAAGUCGACCGCCUGGGGAGUACGGCCGCAAGGUUAAAACUCAAAUGAAUUGACGGGGGCCCGCACAAGCGGUGGAGCAUGUGGUUUAAUUCGAUGCAACGCGAAGAACCUUACCUGGUCUUGACAUCCACAGAACUUUCCAGAGAUGGAUUGGUGCCUUCGGGAACUGUGAGACAGGUGCUGCAUGGCUGUCGUCAGCUCGUGUUGUGAAAUGUUGGGUUAAGUCCCGCAACGAGCGCAACCCUUAUCCUUUGUUGCCAGCGGUCCGGCCGGGAACUCAAAGGAGACU
rnacentral:rRNA from 1 species